rnacentral:rRNA from 1 species
UGGGGAAUAUUGCACAAUGGGCGCAAGCCUGAUGCAGCCAUGCCGCGUGUGUGAAGAAGGCCUUCGGGUUGUAAAGUACUUUCAGUCGGGAGGAAGGUGGUAAGGUUAAUAACCUUGGCAAUUGACGUUACCCGCAGAAGAAGCACCGGCUAACUCCGUGCCAGCAGCCGCGGUAAUACGGAGGGUGCAAGCGUUAAUCGGAAUUACUGGGCGUAAAGCGCACGCAGGCGGUUUGUUAAGUCAGAUGUGAAAUCCCCGGGCUCAACCUGGGAACUGCAUCUGAUACUGGCAAGCUUGAGUCUCGUAGAGGGGGGUAGAAUUCCAGGUGUAGCGGUGAAAUGCGUAGAGAUCUGGAGGAAUACCGGUGGCGAAGGCGGCCCCCUGGACGAAGACUGACGCUCAGGUGCGAAAGCGUGGGGAGCAAACAGG